rnacentral:rRNA from 1 species
AACGAACGCUGGCGGCGCGCCUAAUACAUGCAAGUCGAGCGAGAAGACGUAGCAAUACGUUUGUAAAGCGGCGAACGGGUGAGGAAUACAUGGGUAACCUACCCUCGAGUGGGGAAGUAACUAGCCGAAGGUUAAGCUAAUACCGCGUACGCUCCUUCGGACUUCGGUUUCAGGGAGGAAAGCGAUACCGUGGGUAGUCGCGCUCUUGGAUGGGCGUCAUGUCCUAUCAGCUUGUUGGUGAGGAACGGCUCACCAAGGCUUCGACGGGUAGCUGGUCUGAGAGGACGAUCAGCCACACUGGCACUGCGACACGGGCCAGACUCCUACGGGAGGCAGCAGUAAGGAAUAUUGCGCAAUGGGCGAAAGCCUGA